rnacentral:rRNA from 1 species
UGGGGAAUAUUGCACAAUGGGGGAAACCCUGAUGCAGCGACGCCGCGUGGAGGAAGAAGGUCUUCGGAUUGUAAACUCCUGUUGUUGAGGAAGAUAAUGACGGUACUCAACAAGGAAGUGACGGCUAACUACGUGCCAGCAGCCGCGGUAAAACGUAGGUCACAAGCGUUGUCCGGAAUUACUGGGUGUAAAGGGAGCGCAGGCGGGAAGACAAGUUGGAAGUGAAAUCUAUGGGCUCAACCCAUAAACUGCUUUCAAAACUGUUUUUCUUGAGUAGUGCAGAGGUAGGCGGAAUUCCCGGUGUAGCGGUGGAAUGCGUAGAUAUCGGGAGGAACACCAGUGGCGAAGGCGGCCUACUGGGCACCAACUGACGCUGAGGCUCGAAAGUGUGGGUAGCAAACAGGAUUAGAUACCCUGGUAGUCCACACCGUAAACGAUGAUUACUAGGUGUUGGAGGAUUGACCCCUUCAGUGCCGCAGUUAACACAAUAAGUAAUCCACCUGGGGAGUACGACCGCAAGGUUGAAACUCAAAGGAAUUGACGGGGGCCCGCACAAGCAGUGGAGUAUGUGGUUUAAUUCGACGCAACGCGAAGAACCUUACCAAGUCUUGACAUCCUGCGACGCACAUAGAAAUACGUUUUCUCUUCGGAGCAGAGAGACAGGUGGUGCAUGGUUGUCGUCAGCUCGUGUCGUGAGAUGUUGGGUUAAGUCCCGCAACGAGCGCAACCCUUAUGGUCAGUUACUACGCAAGAGGACUCUGGCCAGACUGCCGUUGACAAAACGGAGGAAGGUGGGGAUGACGUCAAAUCAUCAUGCCCUUUAUGACUUGGGCUACACACGUACUACAAUGGCGUUAAACAAAGAGAAGCAAGACCGCGAGGUGGAGCAAAACUCAGAAACAACGUCCCAGUUCGGACUGCAGGCUGCAACUCGCCUGCACGAAGUCGGAAUUGCUAGUAAUCGUGGAUCAGCAUGCCACGGUGAAUACGUUCCC